rnacentral:rRNA from 1 species
AGAAGACUUUAGAUAUGAUCCAGAGUACCACGGGACACGUGAAACCCUGUGGGAAGCAGGAGGGACCACCCUCCAAGGCUAAAUACUACCUAGUGACCGAUAGCGUAUAGUACCGUGAGGGAAAGGUGAAAAGAACCCCGGGAGGGGAGUGAAAUAGAACCUGAAACCCUGCACUUACAAGCUGUGGAAGCACAUUUCUUGUGUGACCGCGUACUUUUUGUAGAACGGGCCAACGAGUUACGUUAAGUAGCAAGGUUAAGCACUUAAGGUGUGGAGCCGUAGCGAAAGCGAGUUUUAACUGAGCGUUCAGUUACUUGACGUAGACCCGAAACCGGGCGACCUACCCAUGAGCAGGAUGAAGCGAAAGUAAAAUUUCGUGGAGGUCCGAACCCACGAGCGUUGAAAAGCUCGGGGAUGACUUGUGGGUAGCGGUGAAAUUCCAAUCGAGCCCGGAGAUAGCUGGUUCUCCCCGAAAUAGCUUUAGGGCUAGCCUCAAGGUGAGAGAUACGGAGGUAGAGCACUGAAUGUCCUAGGGGGUAUUGCACCUACCGAAGACUAUCAAACUCCGAAUGCCGUCAUCUUAUACUUGGGAGUCAGACUGUGGGUGAUAAGAUUCAUAGUCGAAAGGGCAACAGCCCAGAUCGUCAGCUAAGGUCCCUAAAUGUAAGUUAAGUGGUAAAGGAUGUGGGAUUGCACAGACAACCAGGAUGUUGGCUUAGAAGCAGCCACUCAUUCAAAGAGUGCGUAAUAGCUCACUGGUCGAGUGAUCCUGCGCCGAAGAUUUCCGGGGCUAAAACUUACUACCGAAGCUACGGCAUCAGUAAUGAUGGGUAGGGGAGCUUCCCAUACGGGUUGAAGCAUGACCGUAAGGACAUGUGGACAGUAUGGGAGUGAGAAUGUUGGCAUGAGUAGCGAGAUGUGGGUGAGAAUCCCACAGGCCGUAAACCCAAGGUUU